rnacentral:sRNA from 1 species
UACGUUUCAAGUUGAUUGGACUUCAACUUUAUCAAAAACUACCUUUACCAAAAUCUUUAACCUGAAACAGGUUAAAAGAACGUAACUGAUAAAGUUGAAGUCCAAUCAACUUGAAACGUA